rnacentral:rRNA from 1 species
UACGUAGGCAGCGAGCGUUGUUCGGAAUUACUGGGCGUAAAGAGUGUGUAGGCGGUGUUCCCAGUCUGUUGUGAAAUCUCCCGGCUUAACUGGGAGGGUGCAGCGGAAACUAGAAUGCUAGAGGGUGGGAGAGGUAAGCGGAAUUCCUGGUGUAGCGGUGAAAUGCGCAGAUAUCAGGAGGAACACCGGUGGCGAAGGCGGGUCUCUGGGCAACACUGACGCUGAGGAGCGAAAGCGUGGGGAGCGAACAGG